rnacentral:rRNA from 1 species
GGUUAAGCGACUAAGCGUACACGGUGGAUGCCCUGGCAGUCAGAGGCGAUGAAGGACGUGCUAAUCUGCGAAAAGCGUCGGUAAGGUGAUAUGAACCGUUAUAACCGGCGAUGUCCGAAUGGGGAAACCCAGUGCAAUUCGUUGCACUAUCGUUAACUGAAUACAUAGGUUAACGAGGCGAACCGGGGGAACUGAAACAUCUAAGUACCCCGAGGAAAAGAAAUCAACCGAGAUUCCCCCAGUAGCGGCGAGCGAACGGGGAGCAGCCCAGAGUCUGAAUCAGCUUGUGUGUUAGUGGAACGGUCUGGAAAGUCCGACGGUACAGGGUGAUAGUCCCGUACACCAAAAUGCACAGGCUGUGAACUCGAAGAGUAGGGCGGGACACGUGGUAUCCUGUCUGAAUAUGGGGGGACCAUCCUCCAAGGCUAAAUACUCCUGACUGACCGAUAGUGAACCAGUACCGUGAGGGAAAGGCGAAAAGAACCCCGGCGAGGGGAGUGAAAAAGAACCUGAAACCGUGUACGUACAAGCAGUGGGAGCACCUUCGGGUGUGACUGC